UACGUAGGGGCAAGCGUUGUCCGGAAUCAUUGGGCGUAAAGAGCGCGUAGGCGGCCCUGUAAGUCCGCUGUGAAAGUCAAGGGCUCAACCCUUGAAUGCCGGUGGAAACGUGUCGGGCUAGAGUCCGGAAGAGGCGAGUGGAAUUCCUGGUGUAGCGGUGAAAUGGCGCAGAUAUCAGGAGGAACACCGAUGGCGAAGGCAGCUCGCUGGGACGGUACUGACGCUGAGACGCGAAAGCGUGGGGAGCGAACAGG
rnacentral:rRNA from 1 species